AGUGAACGCUGGCGGUAGGCCUAACACAUGCAAGUCGAACGGCAGCACAGUAAGAGCUUGCUCUUACGGGUGGCGAGUGGCGGACGGGUGAGGAAUACAUCGGAAUCUACUUUUUCGUGGGGGAUAACGUAGGGAAACUUACGCUAAUACCGCAUACGACCUACGGGUGAAAGCAGGGGAUCUUCGGACCUUGCGCGAUUGAAUGAGCCGAUGUCGGAUUAGCUAGUUGGCGGGGUAAAGGCCCACCAAGGCGACGAUCCGUAGCUGGUCUGAGAGGAUGAUCAGACACACUGGAAAUGAGACACGGUGCAGACACCUACGGGAGGCAGCAGUGGGGAAUAUUGGACCAUGGGCGCAAGCCUGAUCCAGCCAUACCGCGUGGGUGAAGAAGGCCUUCGGGUUGUAAAGCCCCUUUGUUGGGAAAGAAAAGCAGCAGGUUAAUACCCCGCUGUUCUGACGGUACCCAAAGAAUAAGCACCGGCUAACUUCGUG
rnacentral:rRNA from 1 species